GAGUUUGAUCCUGGCUCAGAACGAACGCUGGCGGCGUGCCUAACACAUGCAAGUCGAACGUGAUCCAGAGCUUGCUCUGGUGAAAGUGGCGCACGGGUGAGUAACGCGUGGAUAACCUACCCUGGUAUCCGGGAUAACAUUCCGAAAGGGGUGCUAAUACCGGAUAAGCCCACGGGCUCUUUGGAGCUUGCGGGAAAAGGUGGCCUCUAUUUAUAAGCUACUGUAUCAGGAUGGGUCCGCGUACCAUUAGCUAGUUGGCGGUGUAACGGACCACCAAGGCGACGAUGGUUAGCUGGUCUGAGAGGAUGAUCAGCCACACUGGAACUGAGACACGGUCCAGACUCCUACGGGAGGCAGCAGUGGGGAAUUUUGCGCAAUGGGGGAAACCCUGACGCAGCAACGCCGCGUGAGUGAUGAAGGCCUUUGGGUCGUAAAGCUCUGUCAGAGGGGAAGAAAUGAYAUAGUGCUAAUACCACUUUAUCUUGACGGUACCCUCAAAGGAAGCACCGGCUAACUCCGUGCCAGCAGCCGCGGUAAUAC
rnacentral:rRNA from 1 species